GCCGGGAUAGCCAAGCGGAUUACGGCGCAGGCUUGGAGAGCCUGUGACACAGUGUGUCGCGUGAGUUCGAAUCUCACUCCCGGCG
rnacentral:tRNA from 1 species